rnacentral:misc_RNA from 1 species
GAUGAAGAACGCAGCGAAAUGCGAUAAGUAAUGUGAAUUGCAGAAUUCAGUGAAUCAUCGAAUCUUUGAACGCACAUUGCGCCCCUUGGUAUUCCGGGGGGCAUGCCUGUUCGAGCGUCAUUAUAACCACUCAAGCUCUCGCUUGGUAUUGGGGUUCGCGGUUCCGCGGCCCCUAAAAUCAGUGGCGGUGCCUGUCGGCUCUACGCGUAGUAAUACUCCUCGCGAUUGAGUCCGGUAGGUCUACUUGCCAGCAACCCCCAAUUUUUACAGGUUGACCUCGGAUCAGGUAGGGAUACCCGCUGAACUUAAGCAUAUCAAUAAGCGGAGGA